UUUUCAUACCAAUUUUUACAACACAGCGAUACAGGUGAAUAUCCCCUGUACUCAUUUUUUAUUUUUACUUUUUUUGUAGACCGCUUAAAUGCUUGACAGAGGAAGCUUUUGUACCUUUGUUGUCAACCAUUGCUUCAAUCUUUGCACAUUUCACUCACAACUCUCCAUUUCCAUCUCAUUGUUUAACCUACCCAGUACCCACUAAUCAAACUGCUUCAAUCUCGCUCUUCUCAUCAGAUCUUCAACAAGGUACUCCUAUUACUCGCUCAAGCUGGUUCCUUUCUUCACUUUCGUAACAACCAUGAAUGUGGGGUUUUGUUCAGUCUUUUAAGUAACGGGUUUAGUGUAUUAAGAGAUUUCUUGUAGCUCUAGUUGUUUAGGUAUACUUGAGAUUUUCCAUUUACUUGGUUACUUGUAGCUCUUGCUUUCAUGAGUAUUCCUCUUCUUAGUAGAUCUGUAACACGUUAUGUACAUUUUCCAAUUUUGUGUGAACAAGAAAUGUUGAAUUUAAGAGUUUCCAUGACGCUGAAAUCCCCACCCAGCAUAUUUGUUGCAACUACUUUGGUUGGUUGGGUCCAUUCGUAGAAAUGUAGAGGUUGCCCUACAUAUCACAUAUUCAAUUUCUGGAAACAUUAUCUCUACAUUAUAUGAGACUAAUGAGAGUAAAAUCUGCGUAUAUAUUGUCUAUCUUCAACCCUGCUCACUGCGAAAGCCUUGUGCACAGAGUUGUUUACAUUUUUUUAUCACAGAUAUGUAUUAGUUACUCGUGGUUUUCUUGUUUUGCAGUAAGUCUGCUUUCUAUCCAAAAGUGUUUCACAAAGUAGGAAGUGUUAUUUGGAACUUUUAUGUGCUUCUUGAUUCAGUAACUUCUUUCAUUAGUUUUUUUUCCUCCUUCUUUUAGUACUCCCCUGUAUUCAUUGAGAAUUCCAUAUCAUGCUUCAACUUUAGGCCAUCUCUCCCUCAUCAGAUUUAGGAACUCCUCCAUCUCAAUCUUGAGAUUGAUCCAUCUCUAUAAAUCAGUCCCUCCUUUUCGGAUUUCAAUUUGAAGGCCUUGAUUACUUGUUGAUAAAACUGAGUGUCAUUUCAUCAGCGUAGAUUUAGAAGAGAAAAAAAUGCAGAAGCCACCUCAAGCUGUGGACUUUGCUCUAAAAGAGACCUCACCCAACAUUGGUGCGGGAGCUUUAGCAGGAGACAAGCUCUCAUGCACCUAUGACCUUGUUGAGCAAAUGCAAUACCUUUAUGUCCGAGUGGUGAAAGCCAAGGAUUUACCUGCAAAAGAUAUCACUGGUAGUUGUGAUCCCUACGUUGAGGUUAAGCUUGGGAACUACAGAGGAAUGACUAGGCAUUUUCAGAAGAAGACGAACCCUGAAUGGAAUCUGGUUUUUGCUUUCUCAAAAGAAAGAAUUCAAGCUUCAAUUUUGGAGGUGUUCCUGAAAGAUAAGGAUGUUGUCUUAGAUGAUUUGAUUGGCAGGGUUGUCUUCGACCUCCAUGAAAUCCCAAAAAGGUUUCCGCCAGAUAGCCCCUUGGCACCACAGUGGUAUAGGCUAGAAGACCGUAAGGGAGAGAGGGCUAAGGGAGAGCUUAUGCUGGCUGUUUGGAUGGGAACUCAAGCCGAUGAGGCGUUUCCUGAUGCAUGGCAUUCAGAUGCUGCAACAGUUGGCCCUGAAGGUUUCGUGAAUAUUCGAUCAAAGGUAUAUCUUUCUCCCAAGCUCUGGUAUGUUAGAGUUAAUGUGAUUGAAGCCCAGGAUUUGCUACCUAGUGACAAAAGUAGAUUUCCUGAAGUUCACGUGAAGGCUAUGCUCGGUAAUCAGGCUUUGAGAACUAGAAUAUCACAAAGUAAGACAAUUAAUCCAAUAUGGAAUGAGGAUUUAAUGUUUGUAGUUGCUGAGCCUUUUGAGGAGCCCUUGAUUCUGACCGUGGAAGAUAGAGUGGGGCCAACCAAAGAUGAUGUUUUGGGGAAGUGUAUGAUUCCUUUACAACAUGUACAAAGGAGGCUAGACCACAAACCAGUCCACACUAGGUGGUUCAAUCUUGAAAAGCAUGUGAUAGAAGGUGACCAGAAGAAGGAGACUAAGUUUGCAAGCAGGAUUCAUUUGAGGAUUUGUUUGGAUGGUGGGUAUCAUGUUUUAGAUGAGUCUACACACUACAGUAGCGAUCUCAGGCCAACGGCAAAGCAGUUGUGGAAGUCGAGCAUUGGAAUACUGGAAGUUGGAGUUCUGAGUGCUGUGGGGCUGAUGCCAAUGAAGUCAAAGGAUGGCAGGGGAACUACAGAUGCUUAUUGUGUAGCUAAAUAUGGACAGAAAUGGGUUAGGACGAGGACUAUUGUGGACAGCUUUACACCAAGAUGGAAUGAGCAGUACACAUGGGAGGUUUUUGAUCCCUGCACUGUUGUUACAAUCGGGGUUUUCGACAAUGGUCACGUGGGUGGUGGGGGAAAGGAUUCAAGAAUCGGGAAGGUGAGGAUUCGGCUCUCGACACUUGAAACUGACAGGGUUUAUACACAUUCAUAUCCGCUUCUUGUUCUGCAUCCUUCAGGGGUUAAGAAGAUGGGAGAAGUUCAACUGGCAGUGAGGUUUACUGGCUCUUCUUUGAUCAAUAUGUUGCAUAUGUAUUCCCAUCCAUUACUUCCUAAAAUGCACUACAUUCAUCCAUUGUCCGUAACUCAACUGGAUAGCUUAAGGCAUCAGGCUAUCCAGAUUGUCUCAAUGAGGCUGACCCGUGCUGAGCCACCUUUAAGAAAAGAAGUUGUGGAGUAUAUGCUAGACGUGGAUUCGCAUAUGUGGAGCAUGAGGAGGAGCAAGGCCAAUUUCUUCAGAAUUAUGGCUGUUCUAAGUGGACUUAUCGCUGUUGGAAGAUGGUUUGAUCGGAUAUGCAACUGGAAGAAUCCUCUUACAACAGUCUUAAUUCAUAUUCUUUUUAUAAUCUUGGUUCUAUAUCCUGAGCUAAUUUUGGCCACAAUAUUUCUCUAUCUUUUCUUGAUUGGAAUUUGGAACUACCGGUGGAGGCCGAGACACCCUCCUCACAUGGACACGCGACUUUCUCACGCUGAUGCUGUUCAUCCUGAUGAACUUGAUGAAGAGUUCGACACGUUCCCUACUUCACGGCCAUCAGAUAUGGUCAGAAUGCGAUAUGAUCGUCUCAGAAGUAUAGGAGGAAGGGUACAGACUGUGAUUGGUGAUCUAGCAAGUCAAGGGGAAAGGUUUCAGUCUCUGCUAAGUUGGAGAGACCCGCGAGCAACUACGCUUUUUGUGACAUUCUGUUUGAUUGCUGCUAUUGUUCUCUAUGUUACUCCAUUACAAGUUGUUGCACUUCUAUUUGGGUUUUACGUGUUAAGACAUCCCAGGUUCCGGCACAAGCUUCCUUCAGUUCCCCUCAACUUCUUCCGGAGGUUGCCUGCAAGAUCAGACAGCAUGUUAUAGGCUCAGUUGGCGUGUUCCUUAAGUGUCUAAUUGUUGUAGUAAGGUUGAAAUAGCAACUGCUUGGGCAUGUUUUAUUACUACCAAGUUCCUGGCAGAUUCAUGGUUAUCUGGUGCUGAUUUCCUUGAAUUGGACCCUGUUUAUGUUGUUAAUUUGAAUUAUCGUUAAUUGGUUAUGUGGAACUGGCGGGUACAAUUUAACUGGAAUACCAUUCUAGUUGAAAGUU